CCUACGGGUGGCAGCAGUAGGGAAUAUUGCUCAAUGGGGGAAACCCUGAUGCAGCAACGCCGCGUGGAGGAUGAAGGAUUUCGGUUUGUAAACCCCUUUCGUCAGAGAAGAUAAUGACGGUACCUAAUGAAUAAGCACCGGCUAACUCCGUGCCAGCAGCCGCGGUAAUACGGAGGGUGCAAGCGUUACCCGGAUUUACUGGGUGUAAAGGGAGCGUAGGCGGGAUAGCAAGUCAGAUGUGAAAUGCUGUGGCUUAACCAUAGAACUGCAUUUGAAACUGUGAAUCUAGAGUAUAGGAGAGGUAGGUGGAAUUCUUGGUGUAGCGGUGAAAUGCGUAGAGAUCAGGAGGAAUACUCAUUGCGAAGGCGACCUACUGGAACGUAACUGACGCUGAGGCGCGAAAGCGUGGGGAGCAAACAGGAUUAGAUACCCGAGUAGUC
rnacentral:rRNA from 1 species